rnacentral:rRNA from 1 species
UACGUAGGGUGCGAGCGUUAAUCGGAAUUACUGGGCGUAAAGCGUGCGCAGGCGGCGCGUUAAGACAGGUGUGAAAGCCCCGAGCUUAACUUGGGAAUUGCGCUUGUGACUGGCGAGCUGGAGUGUGGCAGAGGGAGGUGGAAUUCCGGGUGUAGCGGUGGAAUGCGUAGAGAUCCGGAAGAACACCGGAGGCGAAGGCGGCUUGCUGGGCGUGAUCUGACGCUGAGGAGCGAAAGCGUGGGGGAGCGAACAGG